AUCCAGCUGACGAGUCCGAGGCGGGACGAAACGCGUGCCGUGGAU
rnacentral:hammerhead_ribozyme from 1 species